GUCCCAGACUCCUACGGGAGGCAGCAGUGAGGAAUAUUGGUCAAUGGCCGAGAGGCUGAACCAGCCAAGUCGCGUGAGGGAAGACGGUCCUAUGGAUUUUAAACCUCUUUAGGCGGGGAGCAAUGCCGGGCACGCGUGUCCGGAGGGAGAGUACCCGCAGAAUAAGCAUCGGCUAACUCCGUGCCAGCAGCCGCGGUAAUACGGAGGAUGCGAGCGUUAUCCGGAUUUAUUGGGUUUAAAGGGUGCGUAGGCGGACAGUCAAGUCAGCGGUAAAAAUGCGGUGCUCAACGCCGUACAGCCGUUGAAACUGGCAGUCUUGAGUGGGCGAGAAGUGUGCGGAAUGCGUGGUGUAGCGGUGAAAUGCAUAGAUAUCACGCAGAACUCCGAUUGCGAAGGCAGCAUACCGGCGCCCGACUGACGCUGAGGCACGAAAGCGUGGGUAUCGAACAGGAUUAGAUACCCGGGUAAC
rnacentral:rRNA from 1 species